rnacentral:lncRNA from 1 species
UUAAAUAUAAUGAAUAUUUUAUAUCAUGAAAGCUUUUUCUAACUUAUACUAAUUUAUUUCUCCUUUCUCUGCUGUAUGUGAAAUCCAUUUGAGUCCAUUUGGACUCCACUCCCUCUCUUUGCAUUUCGUUGAUUGGGCCUAACAGGCACAAUGCUUCUCUCUAUCGAGUCCAAAAAUAGUCGAUGAAUAGGUUGAAGGCGGUACAAGGAGCUGGAAAUUGAAAAAUAUGUUCUAGAAAGCCAAAAAUCAGGCUGAGAUAUGGAAUGUAAACAUUGAUAUACCUGUUGUAUACGCUGGUAUACAGCCGAAAAUACAGUAUACAAGUGCAAAACAUGGAUAUACAGGUUGAGGAAUGCAAAAAUACUAAGUUUGAAGGAGAAACACAGGUUUUGGACGUCGUAUGCAUGUGGUAUACAAGGGUAUACGUUGAAUGUAUACACAAAUUCCCAAAAGCAAAAAGAGGCCGAAGCCUUAAACCAUUUCCAACAAGUCCAGAUGGUAGAAAAGUGGGUCAAAGCCCAAAAUCUGCACAACAAGUGGAAUAGAAAUGGGCCAAGACCCACGAUUUUGAUUUUUUUUUAGAAUUUAGGACAGGUGGGCCAAAGCCCAACUAAAUUGAAUUUAGGCAAAAGACUCAAGUUCAAUUGUUUCUUUUUUCCUUAUUAUAAUUCAUGUUAUUGGUUAUCUACCCUUUUUUAUGGUUUAAUUUAAUUAAGUUCCCCAA